rnacentral:rRNA from 1 species
UACGUAGGGGGCAAGCGUUGUCCGGAUUUAUUGGGCGUAAAGAGCGUGUAGGCGGCCAGGUAGGUCUGCUGUGAAAACUCGAGGCUUAACCUCGAGCUGUCGGCGGAAACCAUCUGGCUAGAGUCCGGAAGAGGAGAAUGGAAUUCCCGGUGUAGCGGUGAAAUGCGCAGAUAUCGGGAAGAACACCGGUGGCGAAGGCGGAUCUCUGGGCCUUACCUGACGCUCAGGUGCGAAAGCUAGGGGAGCGAACAGG